rnacentral:lncRNA from 1 species
GUCAUAUGGAUUUUUGGAAUCUACAGAUUUGCAUUUGACAUAUUUGUGGAUUGAAUUGAUUAACCAAAUUUAUCUGUUUGGACGUUAAAAAAUCUAUCCAUUGUGCAAAACAAUUUUCUCGCCGGCAAAUAUUGUUCUGGGAUAAAUCAUUCUGACGCAACAAAAUUGGUCCUCAAAACGCCCUAUUCUUUUCUUGUCAUCCAAUCAAGAAUGAUAGAUAGAAGGUGUCGGAUCCCAUCCC